UACAGAGGUCUCAACCGUUGUUCGGAUUCAUUGGGCGUAAAGGGUGCGUAGGCGGUCGCGCAAGUCGGAUGUGAAAUCUCAGGGCUCAACCCUGAAACUGCAUUCGAUACUGCGUGGCUAGAGUGCUGGAGAGGAGACUGGAAUUUACGGUGUAGCGGUGAAAUGCGCAGAUAUCGGGAAGAACACCUAUGGCGAAGGCAGCUCUCUGGGACGGUACUGACGCUGAGACGCGAAAGCGUGGGGAGCGAACAGG
rnacentral:rRNA from 1 species